UGAACCCACAGUUGUUAUUGUUAUUAUUUAUUACAUCUAUAAACUGCCCCAUCCAGAGGCUAUGGGCGGUGUACAACAACUUUUUAAAAAGACAUAAAACCCACAAUUCAAACAUAAUGCUAAAAACAAUAUAAAAGCAAUUCAAAAACAAUUAAAAUGAUUUAAAACCAAUUAAAAUACUUUUAAAAAACAACAACACUACAAGCCUUGGAAGACUAGUCCAAACAAAUAGGUUUUUAGGGCUCUCUUUGGACUUUGCCUCCAUUUCCCCGGAACACUCCCAGACGAUUACGAUCUGCAGUCUGGGAGUCAGCAGAGGGGGACUAACUGGCUGUGAGGGCUUCCUUCUUUGCAUGAAGGAAAGCCACAGCAGCCAAUAGAGUCAGGGAGAGAGAGGAGCUUCCUAUUCUUAACUCCUGUUUGUACAUGGAGGCUGCCAUUCUGGGAGUUCCUUUUCCAUUUGCUCUGGCAAUGAAAGCUGACCCCAUGGAUACUUCUACUUCAGCUUGAGGAAGACACUUCUCCACGAACAUUUUUCAGGCGGAAUGCUGGCUCCUUGCUCUCUGUCCUGUGGCCUUCACAUGCACCAAUACAGCCAUUAGCAAUGUAGCUAUAGCAAAAGGUCCCUCCUUGUUUUUAGUAAUGAGCACAGGAAUUCUGCCCCACUUUUCAUGCUCAGGAUAUCGUGACCAGCUGUUGCAGUAAAGUGCCAGUUCAGAAUUUCAUACCUAAAUAAAUGAAAAAGAAAGAUGAAGAGUGCUUGGUCUGAUGUGAUGGAAAUCUCCAAAUAACUGCAUGCUCAUUGCCCCAAAGAACACUGUGCUGAUGUCCUCAAGUAACCUUUGCCAUAUCCAGCACAUUUCUCAUGGGAGGCAAUAAGACCACCAAGAAAGAGGAGAAACAAUAGCAAAAAACAGAGGUAAGGUCGAAAAAUAACACAUGGGGUGGGGGGAGCAUUCUGAAACCACUGAAAGGUUUUGUUUCUCACUUUCCUUUUAAAUCUAUUCAUCUGUUCCUGGUGAGAUGCCAGACAGUGCCCAUUUGUACAGGGCAGAGCAAGACAAUGGGGCCACAUUGCAAAGGAAGAAAUCUGAGGAAGCUCUUCAGUGCAAGAGAGCACUGCCGCUCAAGUUGCAGAGCAGUUUGGAAGCCCAUAUUACACAGCAGCAUGCAUGGCUUCCGUCAAAGCCACUGUGAAUGGCAGCUACACCAGAGAAGAGAAAGUGAAAAGUAAGCGAACACUGCAUUUGUGACACGAUUUCCUUCUACUUGUAAUCCACUUCAAUGCAUAUGUUUACAAUAUCUGCAAUAAUAAUU